CACGUAGGGGGCGAGCGUUGUCCGGAUUCAUUGGGCGUAAAGGGCGCGCAGGCGGCCCGGAAAGUCGGAUGUGAAAACUCGAGGCUCAACCUCGAGCGUGCACCCGAUACUGCCGGGCUUGAGGCAGGUAGGGGAGAUCGGAAUUCCUGGUGUAGCGGUGAAAUGCGCGGAUAUCAGGAGGAACACCGGUGGCGAAGGCGGAUCUCUGGGCCUGUCCUGACGCUGAGGCGCGAAAGCUAGGGGAGCGAACAGG
rnacentral:rRNA from 1 species